GAGGGGUCUCCAACCCCACCUCGCAUUGUUCAGGGGAAGCCCAAAAUCCCCUACCACGCUUUUAAAAAUGAUGUGGACACAGAGGACAUUGAUGGAUACUUGCACGAUUUUGAGAGGCUAUGCUAAUUACAUGACAUCAGCACAACCGACCAGGUACCCCUGCUGGUGGGCAAGCGGGCCAGGCAGCCGAAGCCUACCGCACAAUGCCAGAUGAGGACAGCAGAGACUACCAGAAAGUGAAGCAGGCCAUCCUGACCAGGUAUGCCAUAACCCCAGAGGCAUACCGUCAGCAGUUCAGGGAGCUUCG